UACGUAGGGGGCAAGCGUUGUCCGGAAUUAUUGGGCGUAAAGAGCGCGUAGGCGGUCCGAUAAGUCGGCUGUGAAAGUCAUGGGCUCAACCCAUGAAAGCCGGCCGAUACUGUCGGACUAGAGUCCGGAAGAGGCGAGUGGAAUUCCCGGUGUAGCGGUGAAAUGCGCAGAUAUCGGGAGGAACACCAAUGGCGAAGGCAGCUCGCUGGGACGGUACUGACGCUGAGGAGCGAAAGCAUGGGGAGCAAACAGG
rnacentral:rRNA from 1 species